rnacentral:sRNA from 2 species
UACACACCGCCCGUCACACCACGAGAGUUGGUAAUACCAGAAGUAGGUAGCUUAACCGCAAGGAGAGCGCUUCCCAAGGUAGGAUUAGCGAUUGGGGUGAAGUCGUAACAAGGUAUCCGUACGGGAACGUGCGGAUGGAUCACCUCCUUUCUAUGGAGUUAUUAUUAAAAAGCAGAAGUGAACUGCUUGACUGUUUCUGUUCUAUUUAGUUUUCAGAGGUUAUUAAUUUAAUCUCUGAGAAAUCAGAAUUGUUCUUUGAAAACUGAAUAUUAGAUGAAAUAUAUAAUUUUCUUAUUGUUUAAAAAACAUAAAAAUUUUGACAUCAGUAAAAAAAACUAAAAUUGUUAUAAAUUGCAAAUAGAUUUUUUCUAAAAAAUAGUAAGGGCAUAUAGUGAAUGCCUUGGAAAAUGGAGCCGAAGAAGGACGUGACUACCUGCGAAAAGCAUCGGGGAGCUGGAAGUGAGCUUUGAUCCGGUGAUAUCCGAAUGGGGAAACCCAAUACGAUUUACCUCGUAUUAUCCGACCACUGAAUACAUAGGUGGCGUGAAGGGAACCUUGGGAACUGAAACAUCUUAGUACCAAGAGGAAAAGAAAAUAAAUUAAUGAUUCCCCUAGUAGCGGCGAGCGAACGGGGAACAGGCCAAACCGCUCUACGGGGCGGGGUUGUAGGACUUUUGUUAGAGUUACAAAGUCAACAUAUAGUAGAACAGAUUGGGAAAUCUGGGCAUAGAGGGUGAUACCCCCGUAUACGAAAUGUGUUGAUCUCGAAGAAGUAUCCUGAGUACGGCGAGGCACGUGAAACCUUGUCGGAAUCCGCCGAGACCACUCGGCAAGCCUAAAUACUACCAUUUUACCGAUAGUGAACCAGUAC